GAGCGGCAGCCAUUUGAUUACCUCACAGGAUCUGCUGGGUUUUCUUGCCAAGAAUGGAGAACACACAAGCUUUGUGCCAACAAAACCACUUCCCUCACCUUGGAGUAAGCUGCUUCACAUCCAAGUGCUAGUGAGAAAAAUGAAGAACACAGAGGCAUCCAAUCACUGCAUAUCAUCGGUGCUGGCAGGCUGCAGCCUGCAGGGUGUCAAGAUCCCACCCCACCCCAGAGCAUCCCUCGGAGCAGAGCACCAAGUAAGC